rnacentral:lncRNA from 1 species
UCUGUGAUUACCUACAGGAAAAAAAGGUAAGUGAUGGCCUCAUCGUCUCCCACCCACAUGGCCUCUGCCUCUCCACCUCACCAUGCUUCCUUGCCCCAAACCCAUAUAUCCCCACGCCGGCAUUCGCCCAUGAGAGCUGACGGCGUCGACCACCAUGGCUGCACCUUUUCUCUGGACAGACACCUUGUUCACCCACGCGUCGGGACCUUCCUUACCUACUCCACCACAACUGGGUCAUUCCAAGGGCCAGAGAUUGACUCAGUACAGCCCCACUCCAUACUCCAGUCAUCCAGUGAUUUCCCAGCCCGUUGAAUUAUCGAGAUGCGCUGGUUGCUCUGGCAAACACGUAGAAGUUAAUCACCUCUGUUUUCUGAUAACAGGGGAGGUGCUGGAGAAAGCCAACGUGGUGAGGAGAUCACAACUCAUCAAUGCUCGCUCGGCCAGUGUAGCUGCGACUGCGAGUGAGGACCAACUCCGCCUCGUCCAGCUCUGGCGUCAUCAUUGAGCUCCUCACUACACAGAUUUCACAG